CGUAGGGUGCAAGCGUUGUCCGGAAUUAUUGGGCGUAAAGAGCUCGUAGGCGGUCUGUUGCGUCGGCUGUGAAAACCCGGGGCUCAACCCCGGGCCUGCAGCCGAUACGGGCAGACUAGAGUUCGGCAGGGGAGACUGGAAUUCCUGGUGUAGCGGUGAAAUGCGCAGAUAUCAGGAGGAACACCGGUGGCGAAGGCGGGUCUCUGGGUCGAUACUGACGCUGAGGAGCGAAAGCGUGGGGAGCGAACAGGAUUAGAUACCCUGGUAGUCCACGCCGUAAACGUUGGGCGCUAGGUGUGGGUUCCCUUCCACGGGAUCCGUGCCGCAGCUAACGCAUUAAGCGCCCCGCCUGGGGAGUACGGCCGCAAGGCUA
rnacentral:rRNA from 1 species